GUAUACGAAGUUUGAAAUCAAUUAAGUUAAUUUUGAAGGUCGGAAUUUUAAAUUAUCAAAUGUACCCGGUACGUAAAAAUAAUGGAAUUCGAAGAAUUCGCAAUUUCUUUUGAAAAGAAUACACAUUUAUCAGGGUACUUAUUUAUGCAAUUAACCUGUCAAAAUGAUUUUUCAAAUUCUAAAACACAUGAUUAGGUAUGUCUUAAAGUACGACAUUUUUCACAAACAUGUUAUCAACGGCAACAGUUCAAUGCACUCACUUUUACUACUGGUAUAUUUGCAGUUGUAUACUUCCUUUGAACGUUUCACACCAUUCUUUUGCAAAAAAAAAUCGCGACCCUUGGCAAUGUUUUCAAAUUAACUUAAAAAUUAUUUAGGUAAUAAUUUAGUCUCGGCAAAUUCAUUUAGGUGAGGUGAUCAAGUUUUCAUAAUUUUUUUUUUCUCGAAAAUAAGAGACUUCGAGUAGGUAGUAGGUACUUAGUUGAAAUUUUUGAAAACGAGAACUUGGAAGAAGUGUGAAUAACUGUUGAAAAAUUUGACCUCCGUUGAAAUCCAAGUACUUAGUUCCUGCAUGAAAAAUUCAAAUUUUUGGUGUUUGGAAUUAAAUUUAUUGGAUAAAAAAAUUUCAAGAUCAUAGAAAAGCUGUGUAAAAAUUUUUGUUUUUAUUUCUCCAAAACAGUAGAUAUUUUUUCAAAAGAAUGAAAUAUUUUCAACUUAUUACUCUAACAUACCUACAAACGAUAUUUUUCAAAAAAAAAAAGUAACCUGAGUAACCUUUUUUCACCAAAAAAGUUACCAAAAAUGCUCAAUGACCAAAAAUGUUCAUUUUGCAAAAGUUUUCAUCUACAUUUAAGUGUAAAUAUGCACGAAAUUUGAAAUCAAAAAAUUAACAGGGGAGUAGGGUAGAAACUUUUACAACACAAGAAAAAUCCAAUAAAACGAUCAAAAAAUCUCCCCCCUCACCAGAAAAAUUCUGGUGAAAAGUUGUGAAUUUUUGGAAAAAUCUGGCGUUAUGUGAUCAGGGAAAAUCAGAGAAUUAGGUACCUACCACAAAGUAUCGAUUUUUACUUUUUGAAUUAUAAAUUUUCAAAAGUUUUCGGCUUCACUUCGCUCGGGUCAGAUUAGUUGGAGAGUAGAAAAAUUGACUUCUCACAUCAAAAAUAAAGUUGCUUUACUUGAAAUUUUCCAAAAAAAAGAGGUUUCUUCGGCUUUGAAACUUCUUAUAUUGAAAAUGAUUUUUUUUGUUCCUCACAAAUUGUAAAUUUUCUGAAGCUUUCACACUCGCUACACUCGUGCAAAAUCGAAAAUAUUUCGUUCUCUUUUUGAAUUUGAUUUUCAAAGACCAAAUUAAAGGCUAAAAAAAAUUGAAAAUUUUCGAUUUUGAAUUUCAGUCCUAACUUUGCAAUAAAACAAUUCAAUUUUUUUUGUCAAGUAGAUACAUAUAAAACCUUCGUUUUUGAAAAUUUAAAAUUAUUCAAUAUUUGUGUUUCCAACUCGCCCUUCCAAAUUGGAGGGGGGGAGGAGGUCUUUGAAAUAAUUUGGUUUGUGAUAAAACAAAAAGGUACUUUUCAGUAAAAAAACAAAAAAAAAACAAUUAAGUAAGUAUUUGAAAUUUUUGACUUUUUUCUAAUUUACCAACAGUGAAAAAUCCAAAAAAAAGCAACCUUCUGUUGAAAAUAGCAACAAAAAAUAAAUUUUUGGUGAAGAUAUAGGUUAGUUAUCAAAAGCUACAGAAAAGUAACCUAAUUGCGAUGCCUGAAUUUGCAACUAUCAUUUUUCCAAAUUUAAACAGUUUGUGUUUCAGGCAAAAUUUCAAAAUUCAAAAAAGUCAUCCACUUUUUUACCACUGGUUUUAUCAUUUUUCCAUCUCUCCUCCCAUCAAUUAAAUUAAAGUCCUAAAAAUCCAAUUACGAUUCUGCCUUCGAAAAAUUCCAACAUAAAUUGUCGUCUAGCUCGUAAAACUGUCCAUGUCUUCCCUGCCCCAUCGUCUUACCGUCAUUUCAUUCGCACACACGCGAUAUUAUCUCAUCAAAUACCUGCGUCUCGUUAACAUACACUUUUUUUGUACUUAAUCGUUUCCACAUUUGCAUUCACGCGCCUACCGUCGUUAACACUUCCUUAAAAAAACCAUUUGUCCGGCCUAAAUGAUGUGAUAUUUCAAAAAGUAUUUCCCUCCCGUCGUCUUUCGUAUAUCUCGUUGGCAAUUAUUCCAAAAUAAAAUAUAGCUACUCGUAAAACCGAAAUAAAAAAAAAAGGAAAUCGAGACUAAGUCUAGGUACACGAAACACGUUAUAAAAAAUUAAGUAUUCGAAGGUAAUAUCCAAUAAUAAGCUGAUACUCAUUCAUAUAGGCUAUACGCACAAAAUAUACCUAGCUGGAACAGGUUGCUGUAGAUGGGCCCACGCAUCGUACCAUUGUUUAUUAAUAGCCGAAGAAACCGGAAUAGAAUGAUAUACAGCUAACCCAAAAUGGGUCAUUAAACCCAAUCUGCCAAUCGAAAAAAAAAAAUUCGUUUCACGUGGAAAAUGGCGGUUUGCUUAUUGUUCGGAUGAGGAAUGAAAAUUGUGAAUUUUUUUCAAAUUUUUGGAGCACGUUUUGAACAGGAUUUCAAGUUGGCAAAUGGUUCAGAUACUUCAUUUUCUUCAAUGUUUCCGAUACACAUUUUGAAGCAACAGGAUCAAUUCAAAAUACAAGCAAAUCACAGAAUCAGCUCCUGAAAUCGGUCAAUUAGGCUACCAAUAGAACAUCCAACUACCCAAAACCGUAAAUCGUAGAUAAAUUCAAUUCCAGAAUUCAUCACCGAGACCGACUCGAACUGGUUCCUUUCAGUUUUAGGGAAAGUUUUUUUUUUCGCAGAAAGCUCUGUUCGUUUUUUUGACUUUGAGAAAAUUUUUUCCUAUUUUCAAUAAUAAAAUUCAACUUUGAUUUAUCUUUCAAUAAAA